GACGAAGGAUGCAAGCGUUAUCCGGAUUCAUUGGGUUUAAAGGGUGCGUAGGUGGCCAAAUAAGUCAGUGGUGAAAUCUCUCAGCUUAACUGAGAAAUUGCCAUUGAUACUGUAUGGCUUGAGUAUAGUUGCCGUUGGCGGAAUAUGACAUGUAGUGGUGAAAUACAUAGAGAUGUCAUAGAACACCGAUUGCGAAGGCAGCUGACGAAACUAUAACUGACACUGAGGCUCGAAAGUGCGGGGAUCAAACAGG
rnacentral:rRNA from 1 species